rnacentral:rRNA from 1 species
GAUUAAUUCAACAUCGAGGUCACAAUCUUAAUUAUUAAUAAGAACUCGCUAAUUAAAUAAUGCUGUUAUCCCUAGAGUAACUUAUUUACUUAUACAUUCUAAUAAUCAAAAAUCCAUAUCUUCAAACAUUACCCCAAUCAAAAAUUCCAUUAAUUUCAAGCUUCUAGGGUCUUCUCGUCCCAAAAAUUCAUAAAAGCAUUCUUACUUUUAACUUAAAUUCAAAUAAAUUAAAUAAAACUUUCUCCUCAGUCUUAACCCUUCAUACCAGUUUUCAAUUAAAAAA